UACGUAGGUGGCAAGCGUUGUCCGGAUUUACUGGGCGUGAAGGGCGUGCAGGCGGUUUGUUAAGUGCAGGGUGAAAGCUCCCGGCUCAACUGGGAGAGGUCCUUGCAUACUGGCGAACUCGAGGGAGGCAGAGGAAAGUGGAAUUCCCGGUGUAGUGGUGAUAUGCGUAGAUAUCGGGAGGAACACCUGUGGCGAAGGCGGCUUUCUGGGCCUUACCUGACGCUGAGACGCGAAAGCGUGGGGAGCGAACCGG
rnacentral:rRNA from 1 species